rnacentral:lncRNA from 1 species
CUAACACUGUCCUCAAAUGCACUUCACUGGAAAUACGGAAGCUGAUGAUAAGAAAAUAUCUACUUAGGAUCCCCCUAGUCCCCUGAGAGUGCUGGGAUGUUUGGAGAGGGACGAUAUUGAUUGGUGGACCUAAAACAAGCAGGAAAGCCUCUUUCCCCCCAGAGCCGACAUAGGCCUGAUGGAUAGACUAUUUAAGAGAUGACAUAGGAAUGAAUGAAGGACAGACUAUUUGAGAGCUGACAGAGGUAUGAUGGAUAGACUAUUUGAGAGAUGACAGAGGUAUGAUGGAUAGAUUAUUUGAGAGAUGACAGAGGAAUGAAGAACAGACUAUUUGAGAGAUGACAGAGGUAUGAUGGAUAGAUUAUUUGAGAGAUGACAGAGGUAUGAAGGGUAGAUUAUUUGAGAGAUGACAGAGGAAUAAAGAACAGACUAUUUGAGAGCUGACACGUAUGAUGGAUAGACUAUUUGAGAGAUGACAGGUAUGAUGAAAAGACUGAUUUGGAGGAUGACGAAUCCCUCUUCUGAGCUCCAUUGGUCAAUGCCAAGGUAUCUGUGGAAACCGAUGAUGUCAUGCUCAGCCCGUCCACCUCCUGGUCGUGAUCUGUCCAUCCCGGAUGACAAACGGAGAGUGACUCAGCAUUUCAUCUUCGCCCAUCCAUCUCUCCUCAUCCUUCU